rnacentral:rRNA from 1 species
GACGAACGCUGGCGGCGUGCUUAACACAUGCAAGUCGAACGGAAAGGCCUCUUUCGGGGGGUACUCGAGUGGCGAACGGGUGAGUAACACGUGAGUAACCUGCCCUUGACUUUGUGAUAACUUCAGGAAACUGGGGCUAAUACCGGAUAGGAGCUCCUGCUGCAUGGUGGGGGUUGGAAAGUUUCGGCGGUUGGGGAUGGACUCGCGGCUUAUCAGCUUGUUGGUGGGGUAGUGGCUUACCAAGGCUUUGACGGGUAGCCGGCCUGAGAGGGUGACCGGCCACAUUGGGACUGAGAUACGGCCCAGACUCCUACGGGAGGCAGAGGUGGGGAAUAUUGCACAAUGGGUGGAAGCCUGAUGCAGCAACGCCGUGUGCGGGAUGACGGCCUUCGGGUUGUAAACCGCUUUCGCUCAUGACGAAGCUUUGUGUGACGGUAGUGGGUAAAGAAGCACCGGCUAACUACGUG